UACGAAGGGGGCUAGCGUUGCUCGGAAUCACUGGGCGUAAAGCGCACGUAGGCGGCUUUUUAAGUCGGUGGUGAAAUCCUGGAGCUCAACUCCAGAACUGCCUCCGAUACUGGGAGCCUUCGAGUCCGGGAGAGGUGAGUGGAACUGCGAGUGUAGAGGUGAAAUUCGUAGAUAUUCGCAAGAACACCAGUGGCGAAGGCGGCUCACUGGCCCGGUACUGACGCUGAGGUGCGAAAGCGUGGGGAGCAAACAGG
rnacentral:rRNA from 1 species